AUGGCGACCCUGUUCUGCGCGGCCGCUGCCACCUCGUGCCGUCUCGCCUUCCCGCUUGCCGUGCCGGCGCCGGCGCCAGGCCUUGGCCGCGGCCGGGCCCGACGCGGCACGGUGGCGGUGCGUGCGGAGGCAGGGACCGGGAUAAACCCGGCCAUCCGGAAGGAGGAGGCCAAGGUGGUCGACACCGUCCUGGCCGGGGAGCUCUCCAAGCCGCUCACCCCGUACUGCCGGUGCUGGAGAUCGGGAACAUUUCCACUGUGUGAUGGAAGCCAUGUGAAGCACAACAAAGCAACGGGUGAUAAUGUAGGGCCCUUGCUUGUUAAGAAGUAG
rnacentral:rRNA from 1 species